rnacentral:rRNA from 1 species
CCUACGGGGGGCUGCAGUGGGGAAUAUUGGACAAUGGGGGCAACCCUGAUCCAGCCAUGCCGCGUGUGUGAAGAAGGCCCUCGGGUUGUAAAGCACUUUCAGUGAGGAAGAACGCCUGGUGGUUAAUACCCAUCAGGAAAGACAUCACUCACAGAAGAAGCACCGGCUAACUCCGUGCCAGCAGCCGCGGUAAUACGGAGGGUGCGAGCGUUAAUCGGGAUUACUGGGCGUAAAGCGCGCGUAGGUGGCUUGAUAAGCCGGUUGUGAAAGCCCCGGGCUCAACCUGGGAACGGCAUCCGGAACUGUCAAGCUAGAGUGCAGGAGAGGAAGGUAGAAUUCCCGGUGUAGCGGUGAAAUGCGUAGAGAUCGGGAGGAAUACCAGUGGCGAAGGCGGCCUUCUGGACUGACACUGACACUGAGGUGCGAAAGCGUGGGUAGCAAACAGGAUUAGAUACCCGAGUAGUC